rnacentral:rRNA from 1 species
AUUGAACGCUGGCGGAAGGCUUAACACAUGCAAGUCGAACGAGUGGCGGACGGGUGAGUAAUGCUUGGGAAUCUAGCUUAUGGAGGGGGAUAACUACGGGAAACUGUAGCUAAUACCGCGUACCAUAGGAUGAGCCCAAGUGGGAUUGGGUAGUUGGUGAGGUAACGGCCCACCAAGCCGACUAUCUCUAGCUGGUCUGAGCGGAUGACCCGUCACACUGGUACUGAGACACGGCCCAGACGCCUACGGGAGGCAGCAGUGGGGAAUAUUGCGCAAUGGGGGCAACCUGACGCAGCCAUGCCGGUUGAAUGAAGAAGGCCUUCGGGUUGUAAAGUUAUUUCGGUAGCGAGGCGUUAACUACAGAAGAAGCACCGGCUAACUCCGUGCCAGCAGCCGCGGUAAUAC